UGUAGGUUCACAAAUCUCUUAAAAGAUAUUCUGCCCAUCAAACUAAAACUGCAAUAUAAGCAUAUUUUUGUAAUAGCCUACCUGUGAUUAUAAAUAACGUUUUCUCAGGACAGUGAUGUCAGUUGUCACAUGCUUAUGUAAAUUUGUACUAUUUAUUUCAAGUUUUUGAUAUUUAUGUAUGUAAAAUUGUACAUUUUGUUUCAUAGUUGGUUUCCUGAUUAAUUUUUGUCAUUAAAUUGACUAUAAUUGGAGAUUUUGAUUUUUUUUUUUAUUCUUUUUAGUGACAAAUUGUCAAAUUGUGUAGCCUGUUUGUUUUAAAAGGAUCAAAUACCAAGAGCAAACAAGAAAUGUUUUUCAAAUGAACUGAAGAGGAGUAUAGGAACAUUAAUAAAAGAAGUAGAUUAUCUAUGGAACUAUGGCCAAUUGGAAAUAAAGUCAAAUGUUCUCUGUUUUCACUGUAAAUCCCAGACAACAGAUUUCAUCCAUGAGACAGUAAAGUACACUGAGCAAGCUGGAUGAUAAUUUAUAUAUACACUCUCUAAUUCUAGUCUGUAUCAACUGGUUUGCAAGGCUUUUUAUGUAAAAAGCAAAGAUCUUUGUUUCUGCUUUCAGCUGAACGCUGCUGUCUAGGAUUUAUUGCAUUUGAAUCUCAACACGAAAUCUAAAUAUUCACAAAGCACGGCGAUAUCUCUCAGAAGCAGCCAGCCAUUCAUUUUGAAAUUUGUGUAAUUCAUUAAGGCUGAAAACCGUUUCCUGUGCAAGAGAAAGAAUCGAAAUCAGUGAUAUGCACAGAGAAUAAUUUAUCAUGGGAUGACUGUCAUUUGAACCUGCGAUUCAAUUAAACUGUAUGUUUAAUUUUGCCUCAAGAUCAAGAGUUAAGAAGCCUAUUAAAGUGGCUCUCUUGAUGCUGAAUCUAUCUGUUAUCAGCAUGUCGAGGAAAUUCGAGAGGCUCUCUGGUGAGCAUCUCUAUCUGUGACACACUGUCAGUAUUGUUGAGGGGUUUGUGCCGUCGAUGAUAUUAUUCGCAUCAUAGGACAGGUUGGGAUGAACAGGGAAUUUUGUAACCACCCCUACAUUCAUAAUAAUAAUAAUAACAACCGUAAUGGUUUUUAAAGAAUUGUAAGCAGCAUUAUCACUGUCCUCGCCACAUGAAUACGAGGCAUCACCGGCGCUUAACAUCCUUCACCUUUGUAAGUAUUCAGUUGUUACAUGAUGAUUUAAUCAGAAACUCAUGGGCUUAAACUAACAAUGUCCUCAGCCUUUUGUUUUUGUGAUGUGUUAAAUGUGAUGCAAUAUUUAUAUGGUUUUACAUUAAAGUCAAGGACAAAAAUAUAUGAAUGACACUGCAUUCAAUAACAAAAUUUAUUCGAAUUGUAUGUAUUUUAUAUCUCUAAUAUUACAACUUUAAUUUUGAAAUCAAGAUUUUAUUCUGGGCAUUUGAGUUCACUUGUACAAUGACUAUUAUUAGUUAUUUUUUAUUUUUUAUUAUAACUUUAUUUUUGAAAUGUUGGAUCUUUUUUAUUUAUUUAUUUAUUUUUCAUGGCACUAAAAUGUCAUUGUACAUCAAAACUAACAUGAUUUUCUUUUUUUUUUAAUUCUGAGUUUAAUAUUUUAUCCUGGAUGUUACAAACAUAUAAUGGAGGCAUGAAAAUGUACUACCCAAAAACAAUAUUUGAACUUAAGACUGAAAGUAUUGUGAUGCUUUGUGAUUGUCAAAUGUUAGCAGAGCAUGUUCAUAGUUAAUGUGAUUUUCUUUUUUUUCUUUUUUUUAAUGCUUACGGUUACUCUGCUGGAGUAAGCAUAGCCACUAAAAAUCACCUUGAGACCAGUGCUCUGUGGGCUUGUGCUGCAUUCCCAGGCUGUGUGUUGCUGACGGCGUUCUGAUGCUGCUGUGUUCUUCUCCAGGAGGAUUAGACACUUCCUGAAUUACAUGUUGUCGGUCAUGAGGAGGUUUGUUUGCAUCUGAAUACUCUCAUGUUCAGAACGAGCAAUAAGAUGGUGAGUAUUAUUUCCUUUAUUCAGAUAACGGCACAAAAGGACAAAUCAGUCGUCCUUGGAUCUGCCCCUCCACACAAAAAAAAAUAUCAACUAUUGUGAGUGUUUCAAUUGCAGGAACAUGAUGUAUUGUUUUCAUUGUAGCAAUGAGCUUAGUAAUUGUAAUGAGUACGUAUUAAUUCCCCAAUGAACGUCAAAUAUUUAGAUUUACCCCUUAAUUAAAAUGUGUACUUGAAUGCUUAUCUCCUCUGCUAUGUUACCUCUACUGUGAACAAUUAGGAUUUUUUUUUUCUUUUUUUUAAAGACACUCACUUCCAUAAGCUAAUUGUUUUCUCUUUUUUUCAGGGAGACUUUAUCAGAACUGGCCACUAAUUAACAGAAAUCACAGUAACUAUUGCAUAGAGGGAUCUUGUUAAAUCGAAAAGCAGAGUGAUCAGAGUGGCAAAGUGCUAAUUAAGCUCUGAAUGUGGGGGCUGCAUCAACAGAGCACAGGGAUGAUCCUUCGCUGUCUGUUUACAUCACUGCGGUGCAUUCUGGGAGGUCACCCCACAACCUGGGGCAGGCGUACUGUUCUGCUGCUCCGGGAAAAAAAAAAAUGUGUAAGACAGAUAAAACCAGCACAUCUAAAUCCCUUUGGCUCUGUGUUUACGGACACAGACGGCUUUAUCUACACUAAUGUCAUCAACAUUUAACCCCUUAGCCGUCAAAGAUCGCAGACGGCCCCAGA
ensembl:lncRNA